GGGGAUGACCGGAUUUGACAGCGAGUCGAGUUGACUUGUAAGCAUGCCGAGCGUUGUGAAUAUAGCUCGUAAAUCUUAAUUCUCACGCCCUAUAAAUGGCAACGAUUACAAUUACGCUUUAGCUGCUUAGUUUAUAAUUAGGCACAAGCUGUUUCCCGGGAAGCUUUGCUCAACAGCGUCCCGUCAGAAGCAUCGCAAAUGUUGAGAUAAGAUAGUUAGCGUCUUGAUGACUGUACGAAAAUUUCAGAGACUAAGGUUUUGGUAGGACGGUCUGUUUCCGGCCAAAAUUCGAAAACCAAGAGCAGAAUAAGCAUGUAGAAAGCAUUUUAACUGCUUGUUUGGACGAGGGUUCGACUCCCUCCAUCUCCACAA
rnacentral:tmRNA from 1 species